AGCAUACUCUUCAACAUUUUCAUUGCCUUUUCCCUACCCUGCAAGACAAGACAGUUUCAAAACAUUAGUACCAAUAUGUGAUGAGGCAAGAAAUUGUUGAAGACUGAAGAGAAUGAUGGAUUCACCUGAAGACAUUUGUGAUAAGCUGUGCCUGGGAUGUCAAAAGGGAAGGAGAUCAAUCCUUGAAUGAAAGCAACAAAGUUUGCUCUUAGAUUCUCUGAUGACUUGUCUGGUUCAUGGCUGAUCAACUUCUUUGCGGUGAGAUCAAAGAUCAUCUGAUAAAAUGUGUGAUACCAACAUGUUAGCAACAAGGAUUAUAACUGAAACAGAAAAGUUAUUUCGACUUGAGGAAGCAUCUUCUUGAGACCAUCAUGGCCAAAGAGAGUCAAGACCAUGCUUUUAAGGGAGGGAUGUCUGAAGUUGAGUUUGGCUUGAAGAACUGGAUAGUCUCCCCGAGUAAUGGGAAACCCAUGGAGCCAGGUGGAAGCUUUCCUUUGCAUUUAGGGUUCUUCCAACUAUAUAUCCAAUGUGUGAUACUUAUGAGAAGCAGAGAAACCCAAAUGAACAAUGCCCACAUCACAACAGAAACUGAAAACGUGCAGAGG